UCGGAGGUGCUAGCUUGGUAUCCAUCGAGCUACAUAUUGCCCAUGGUAGCCUUAUGGUCAUGGUAAACAGGUGCUCCAUAAGCUAGCAAGUCACGGCAGCCUUUUUCUUCAACAGUUAUGUUUGGAUCCUUUCUAUCAUCUCAAUAUCUUUGGGAUCUGCGAUGAAUUUUGUACUGUUAUUGAAUGGGGACUUCAUGCCAUAUCUUUGAUUUUGUUUUAUGUUCGAGUCAUUAUCUACAACUCUCACUGUCUCAGUGUGUCGAUUGCUCUUUCUGUCUCAGGAGAUCUGAGUGUCAGGCACCUCAGCUAAUGAACGCAAACGACGCCAGCACCACAGUAUCAGUAGCUGGGGCUCCGCAUAAUAAUUAGUUGCAGAGUGGAGCGACUUGGGGUGUCUGAAAAAGUGGUGGUUCGAAAGUGUAUUAAAUGAAAGACCAUCAACAAAUGGAGAGCGAUGGCACCCAUAGCUAGCGUAGUGUUCGUUUCUUUUGCAUACAAAAAUGUUUUGCGUAGCUUUUUAGCUACGGUCUUGGGGAGUGAGCCCAUUGUGCCAAUUGCUGCUGCUGCAGCCACUAUGGCUGGUACCGAUCAUCUCUCACUGUGAUUCUGUUCUGUUUUUUACUAAUGAGAAUGAAAACUUUGCCUUUUCUUUGA